rnacentral:rRNA from 1 species
AGUGAACGCUGGCGGUAGGCCUAACACAUGCAAGUCGAACGGCAGCACAGUAAGAGCUUGCUCUUACGGGUGGCGAGUGGCGGACGGGUGAGGAAUACAUCGGAAUCUACUUUUUCGUGGGGGGUAACGUAGGGAAACUUACGCUAAUACCGCAUACGACCUACGGGUGAAAGCAGGGGAUCUUCGGACCUUGCGCGAUUGAAUGAGCCGAUGUCGGAUUAGCUAGUUGGCGGGGUAAAGGCCCACCAAGGCGACGAUCCGUAGCUGGUCUGAGAGGAUGAUCAGCCACACUGGAACUGAGACACGGUCCAGACUCCUACGGGAGGCAGCAGUGGGGAAUAUUGGACAAUGGGCGCAAGCCUGAUCCAGCCAUACCGCGUGGGCGAAGAAGGCCUUCGGGUUGUAAAGCCCUUUUGUUGGGAAAGAAAAGCAGCAGGUUAAUACCCCGCUGUUCUGACGGUACCCAAAGAAUAAGCACCGGCUAACUUCGUG